UAAAGUUUGAUCCUGUUCUCCAAUCUCCUCUGGCUGCGUGCGUAACACUUGCUACUCUAACGGGAAAGCGGGGGCCUCUCCGCAAGUAUAGUGGCCGACAGGUGACUAGCACGUGAACACAUCUACCCUUGAGAGGGGAAUAACCCCGCGAUAGCGGGGCUAUAUACCGCAUAACCUCCCUGCAUUCACAUGGCACAGGGAUCUCAGGCUCCAGCUGACUCCAGGAUGAUUUCGCGUGCUGAUUACCUAGCUUGGUGAGGUAACGGCCCACCAAGGCGACGAUCCCUAUCCGGCCUGAUAGGGCGUACGGCCAUGAUGACAUCUGAGACACCGCCCACACUCUCUACGGGUAGGCACAGUGGGGAAUUUUACUCCCUGGGCGAAACCCUGACACAUAUCGCCACGUGUAGGAUCAAUGCCUUCAGGUACC
rnacentral:rRNA from 1 species